UUUUUUUUUCUUAAAGUGUGUCGGUAAUUAUGGAUUUUUAUUUGGCCUUUUUUGGGUCUGAAAAAAGAAGAGUUUAGAAGAAAGAAGACAUAAAAUGGUAAGUUUUUUUUUUUAACAGGAAUUUAGAUAAGGGUCUGCCACUGGCUGCUCACUGUUUACUAGCGAGUAAGGGCUGAAUUUACUAAUACUAAGUAAUCUUUACUUAGUAUUAGUAAACUUGGCUGAAAGACCACUUUAGG